AAUGCCUAGGAAUCUGCCUGGUAGUGGGGGAUAACGUUCGGAAACGGACGCUAAUACCGCAUACGUCCUACGGGAGAAAGCAGGGGACCUUCGGGCCUUGCGCUAUCAGAUGAGCCUAGGUCGGAUUAGCUAGUUGGUGAGGUAAUGGCUCACCAAGGCGACGAUCCGUAACUGGUCUGAGAGGAUGAUCAGUCACACUGGAACUGAGACACGGUCCAGACUCCUACGGGAGGCAGCAGUGGGGAAUAUUGGACAAUGGGCGAAAGCCUGAUCCAGCCAUGCCGCGUGUGUGAAGAAGGUCUUCGGAUUGUAAAGCACUUUAAGUUGGGAGGAAGGGUUGUAGAUCAAUACUCUGCAAUUUUGACGUUACCGACAGAAUAAGCACCGGCUAACUCUGUGCCAGCAGCCGCGGUAAUACAGAGGGUGCAAGCGUUAAUCGGAAUUACUGGGCGUAAAGCGCGCGUAGGUGGUUUGUUAAGUUGGAUGUGAAAUCCCCGGGCUCAACCUGGGAACUGCAUUCAAAACUGACUGACUAGAGUAUGGUAGAGGGUGGUGGAAUUUCCUGUGUAGCGGUGAAAUGCGUAGAUAUAGGAAGG
rnacentral:rRNA from 1 species